AUCAUAAUCACUUGGAGAGCUUGUUAAAAUACAGAUGACUAGGCUGCAGCCCCAGAGGUUCUAAUUUUAUAGGCUUGAUAGAAAGCCUACCAAUUUCUAACAAAUUCCACAUUUCUAACAAAUUCCCAGGUGAUACUGAU
rnacentral:pre_miRNA from 1 species